AAAAAAAAAAAAAAUACUGAGAGAGGGAGAGAGAGAGAGAAGAAGAGAGAGAGACGGAGGGAGAGCGAGACAGAGCGAGCAACGCAAUCUGACCGAGCAGGUCGUACGCCGCCGCCUCCUCCUCCUCUCUGCUCUUCGCUACCCAGGUUGGUACUGGUGACUUUUUUUUUUUUUAAGUUUGAUUUUUUGCCCCCAACCACUUGGGAGGACCUAAAUCAAUUUUAAAAACUCAACUCUCCUCUUUUGGAGGUUUUCUAGGGGCUGAGAGGACGGUCCCGGGACCGGUGUCCCCGAGGGAGGGACUUGCCCUCCAAGUCGUAACAGUCAGCCCUGGGACUUGCCCUCCAAGUUGCUCAGCCAGCCCCGGCUCCCGCGAGCCGGGCUGCAGGGACGUCCCCGAGAGCCCUGCGGGCUCCGCGGCCGUGUCCCCGCGCUCCCGUGCGGGUCUCGGGUGCGCUGGGCGGGCGGGCGGCGCGAGGGGAGGUUGUGCCACUCCAGCAACUCAGGGGCUCAUCCAGGUCUCCCAUUCUCUCCCUUGCAGGUGACCCGAGGAGGGACUCCGCCUCCGAGCGGCUGAGGACCCCGGUGCAGAGGAGCCUGGCUCGCAGAAUUGCAGAGUCGUCGCCCCUUUUUACAACCUGGUCCCGUUUUAUUCUGCCGUACCCAGUUUUUGGAUUUUUGUCUUCCCCUUCUUCUCUUUGCUAAACGACCCCUCCAAGAUAAUUUUUAAAAAACCUUCUCCUUUGCUCACCUUUGCUUCCCAGCCUUCCCAUCCCCCCACCGAAAGCAAAUCAUUCAACGACCCCCGACCCUCCGACGGCAGGAGCCCCCCGACCUCCCAGGCGGACCGCCCUCCCUCCCCGCGCGCGGGUUCCGGGCCCGGCGAGAGGGCGCGAGCACAGCCGAGGCCAUGGAGGUGACGGCGGACCAGCCGCGCUGGGUGAGCCACCACCACCCCGCCGUGCUCAACGGGCAGCACCCGGACACGCACCACCCGGGCCUCAGCCACUCCUACAUGGACGCGGCGCAGUACCCGCUGCCGGAGGAGGUGGAUGUGCUUUUUAACAUCGACGGUCAAGGCAACCACGUCCCGCCCUACUACGGAAACUCGGUCAGGGCCACGGUGCAGAGGUACCCUCCGACCCACCACGGGAGCCAGGUGUGCCGCCCGCCUCUGCUUCAUGGAUCCCUACCCUGGCUGGACGGCGGCAAAGCCCUGGGCAGCCACCACACCGCCUCCCCCUGGAAUCUCAGCCCCUUCUCCAAGACGUCCAUCCACC
rnacentral:lncRNA from 1 species